UUAUUUGACUAGAUGACUGGUUUAAUUGUGACCGUCAAAAGUUAGUUUGCUGCUGUGUCUAAAACAUGCAAUAUUUCUUUAGAUUGUUGCUGUUUUCCCUGUUGGCCACUGGAUUGGCUCAAGCUAAUGCUGAUAAUGCUGGUUCUGCAAAGAAAUAUGGGGAUAAUGAAGUCCUGGGUCCUUAUCACUCAUCUAGUGAACCUCGCUUUCCUGUUGCGCCUGGCUCCCCAAUAGGAGGCCCAGUGGGUCCCAGGUCCCUACCUCAUGGGCUUAAAUUACCCUAUAAAACAAUGCCUCCCCAGCACCAGCAGGACUCUGGACAUCCUCCUGUGGGCCCAAAGCCUGCUCAGCAGCAGUAUCCAGGUCACCCUCCUUUGGGUCCAAAACCUCCCCAUCCGCACCACCAGUAUCCAGGUCAUCCUCCCUUGGGUCCAAAACCUCUG